rnacentral:rRNA from 1 species
GUCCACGCUGUAAACGAUGAGUGCUGGACGUUGGCGGGCUUGCCCGCCGGUGUCGCAGCUAACGCGUUAAGCACUCCGCCUGGGGAGUACGGCCGCAAGGUUGAAACUCAAAGGAAUUGACGGGGGCCCGCACAAGCGGUGGAGCAUGUGGUUUAAUUCGACGCAACGCGCAGAACCUUACCAGCCCUUGACAUGCCGCGCUAUCCGCGGAGACGCGGAGUUCCUUUCGGGGACGCGGACACAGGUGCUGCAUGGCUGUCGU